UACAGAGGUCUCAAGCGUUUGUUCGGAUUCAUUGGGCGUAAAGGGUGCGUAGGCGGCGCGGUAAGUCGGGUGUGAAAUCUCGGAGCUUAACUCCGAAACUGCAUUCGAUACUGCCGUGCUUGAGGACUGGGGAGGAGACUGGAAUUUACGGUGUAGCGGUGAAAUGCGUAGAUAUCGUAAGGAAGACCAGUGGCGAAGGCGGGUCUCUGGACAGUUCCUGACGCUGAGGCACGAAGGCCAGGGGGAGCAAACGGGG
rnacentral:rRNA from 1 species